rnacentral:rRNA from 1 species
GUGGCGAACGGGUGAGUAACACGUGGGCAAUCUGCCCUUCACUCUGGGACAAGCCCUGGAAACGGGGUCUAAUACCGGAUACUGACCUGCCAAGGCAUCUUGGCGGGUCGAAAGCUCCGGCGGUGAAGGAUGAGCCCGCGGCCUAUCAGCUUGUUGGUGAGGUAAUGGCUCACCAAGGCGACGACGGGUAGCCGGCCUGAGAGGGCGACCGGCCAAACUGGGACUGAGACACGGCCCAGACUCCUACGGGAGGCAGCAGUGGGGAAUAUUGCACAAUGGGCGAAAGCCUGAUGCAGCGACGCCGCGUGAGGGAUGACGGCCUUCGGGUUGUAAACCUCUUUCAGCAGGGAAGAAGCGAAAGUGACGGUACCUGCAGAAGAAGCGCCGGCUAACUACGUGCCAGCAGCCGCGGUAAUACGUAGGGCGCAAGCGUUGUCCGGAAUUAUUGGGCGUAAAGAGCUCGUAGGCGGCUUGUCACGUCGGUUGUGAAAGCCCGGGGCUUAACCCCGGGUCUGCAGUCGAUACGGGCAGGCUAGAGUUCGGUAGGGGAGAUCGGAAUUCCUGGUGUAGCGGUGAAAUGCACAGAUAUCAGGAGGAACACCGGUGGCGAAGGCGGAUCUCUGGGCCGAUACUGACGCUGA